AUUCUAGUAGCUUAAUUAACAAAGCAUUGGUCUUGUAAACCAAAGACUGAAGACCACAAUCUUCCUAGAAUA
rnacentral:tRNA from 1 species